rnacentral:rRNA from 1 species
UACGUAGGGUGCAAGCGUUAAUCGGAAUUACUGGGCGUAAAGCGUGCGCAGGCGGUUUUGCAAGACAGAUGUGAAAUCCCCGGGCUUAACCUGGGAACUGCAUUUGUGACUGCAAGGCUAGAGUGUGUCAGAGGGAGGUGGAAUUCCGCGUGUAGCAGUGAAAUGCGUAGAGAUGCGGAGGAACACCGAUGGCGAAGGCAGCCUCCUGGGAUGACACUGACGCUCAUGCACGAAAGCGUGGGGAGCAAACAGG